rnacentral:rRNA from 1 species
AUUGAACGCUGGCGGCACGCCUAACACAUGCAAGUCGAGCGGCAGCGCGAUCAGUAGCAAUACUGAUUGGCGGCGAGCGGCGGACGGGUGAGGAAUACGUAGGAAYCURCCCUCAAGMGGGGGAYAACUAAGGGAAACUUUAGCUGAUACCGCRUAAUCUCGARAGAGRAAAGCUGCCCGYAAAGGUGGCACUUGAGGAGGRGCCUGCGUCCGAUUAGCUAGUUGGURRGGUAAGRGCYYACCAAGGCGAUGAUCGGUAACUGGUCUGAGAGGACGRCCAGUCACACUGGGACUGAGACACGGCCCAGACUCCUACGGGAGGCAGCAGUGGGGAAUAUUGGACAAUGGGGGCAACCCUGAUCCAGCGAUGCCGCGUGRGUGAAGAAGGCCUUCGGGUYGUAAAGCUCUUUAGGUUGGGAAGAAGNNNNGGUGAUGGAGGAANAUGCUAUCACUUUGACGGUACCGACAGAAUAAGCACCGGCAAACUCUGUGC